rnacentral:rRNA from 1 species
ACGUAGGGUGCGAGCGUUGUCCGGAAUUAUUGGGCGUAAAGAGCUUGUAGGCGGUUUGUCGCGUCUGCUGUGAAAUCCCGAGGCUCAACCUCGGGCCUGCAGUGGGUACGGGCAGACUAGAGUGCGGUAGGGGAGAUUGGAAUUCCUGGUGUAGCGGUGGAAUGCGCAGAUAUCAGGAGGAACACCGAUGGCGAAGGCAGAUCUCUGGGCCGUAACUGACGCUGAGGAGCGAAAGGGUGGGGAGCAAACAGGA